rnacentral:rRNA from 1 species
GUGGGGAAUCUUAGACAAUGGGCGCAAGCCUGAUCUAGCCAUGCCGCGUGAGCGAUGAAGGCCUUAGGGUUGUAAAGCUCUUUCAGCUGGGAAGAUAAUGACGGUACCAGCAGAAGAAGCCCCGGCUAACUCCGUGCCAGCAGCCGCGGUAAUACGGAGGGGGCUAGCGUUGUUCGGAAUUACUGGGCGUAAAGCGCACGUAGGCGGAUCAGAAAGUCAGAGGUGAAAUCCCAGGGCUCAACCUUGGAACUGCCUUUGAAACUCCUGAUCUUGAGGUCGAGAGAGGUGAGUGGAAUUCCGAGUGUAGAGGUGAAAUUCGUAGAUAUUCGGAGGAACACCAGUGGCGAAGGCGGCCAUCUGGACCAGCACUGACACUGAGGCACGAAAGCGUGGGGAGCAAACAGGAUUAGAAACCCGGGUAGUCC